CUGGAGCUCAGCCUGGAGGAUCUCACUCAGACAGCUUCCUUGGGGAUAGUCUUGUGAGAGGUUUGAAUUGAAAUGGAACCAAUUGAAACGUCAAAGGACAAGCCACACUUUCAUCUGAUAAGCCAGUUCUCUGCACACAGCAGACAUUUAAUAAACGUUCGUUAGACUGGAUAAAAUUGGAGAUGACCAAGUAUCCCAUGAAUUGGUGUUUUUUUGUUACUUUGGAAGAACAUAGUAAAACAAAUUAAUCAACUCCUUUGUUUAAUUUAUUGGAGAAGCACUGUCCAACCACCUUUCUAGUUAAGUAAAACCUAUUUAAAUCUUCAUUCAUAGAAGAAAUGUGGAUAUAGUAGAGUUCUCAUCUGGCAAUGUUCACAAAAAGCAUAAGUAAAAAGAACAUUGUAGAAAUAAUUACAAAUUGAACUCCUAUGUUUAUUGCUGAAGACAAAGCAAUGGAU
rnacentral:lncRNA from 1 species